rnacentral:rRNA from 1 species
UCUGGUGAUGAUGCGUAAUUUGGUAAUACCCGUUCCCAUUCCGAACACGAAGGUCAAGCAAAUUACGGCUGAUGGUACUGCAGGGGAGGCUCUGUGGGAGAGUAGGUGGUCGCCAGGUU